rnacentral:rRNA from 1 species
GAUGAACGCUGGCGGCGUGCCUAAUACAUGCAAGUCGAGCGAACGGACGAGAAGCUUGCUUCUCUGAUGUUAGCGGCGGACGGGUGAGUAACACGUGGAUAACCUACCUAUAAGACUGGGAUAACUUCGGGAAACCGGAGCUAAUACCGGAUAAUAUUUUGAACCGCAUGGUUCAAAAGUGAAAGACGGUCUUGCUGUCACUUAUAGAUGGAUCCGCGCUGCAUUAGCUAUUUGGUAAGGUAAGGGCUUACGAAGGCAACGAUCCAUAGCCGACCGGAGAGGGUGACGGCCAAACCGGGAACUGAGAACCGGUCAAGCUCCCAACGGGAGGAACAGGAAGGGAAUCUUCGGAAUUGGGGGAAGGCCUGACGGAGAAACGCGGGGGGGGUGAUGAAGUUCUCGGAACCGAAAAACUCUGUGAUUGGGGAGGAACAUAGGUGGAAGUAAAAGUGCACAUCGUGACGGUACCUAAUCAGAAAGCCACGGCUAACUACGUG